rnacentral:rRNA from 1 species
AGGCCCUACGGGGUGCAGCAGGCGCGAAAACUUUACAAUGCUGGCAACAGCGAUAAGGGAACCUCGAGUGCCAGGUUACAAAUCUGGCUGUCGAGAUGCCUAAAAAGCAUUUCAUAGCAAGGGCCGGGCAAGACCGGUGCCAGCCGCCGCGGUAACACCGGCGGCUCGAGUGGUAACCGUUAUUAUUGGGUCUAAAGGGUCUGUAGCCGGCCGGAUAAGUCUCUUGAGAAAUCUGGCAGCUUAACUGUCAGGCUUUCAGGAGAUACUGUCUGGCUCGAGGCCGGGAGAGGUGAGAGGUACUUCAGGGGUAGGGGUGAAAUCUUGUAAUCCUUGAAGGACCACCAGUGGCGAAGGCGUCUCACCAGAACGGACCUGACGGCAAGGGACGAAAGCUAGGGGCACGAACCGGAUUAGAUACCCGGGUAGUCCUAGCCGUAAACGAUACUCGCUAGGUGUCGGCCACGGUGCGACCGUUGUCGGUGCCGUAGGGAAGCCGUGAAGCGAGCCACCUGGGAAGUACGGCCGCAAGGCUGAAACUUAAAGGAAUUGGCGGGGGAGCACCACAACGGGUGGAGCUUACGGUUUAAUUGGAUUCAACGCCGGAAAUCUUACCGGGACCGACAGCAAUAGAAGGCCAGGCGAAGAUGGUG